rnacentral:lncRNA from 1 species
GUUUGUUUUAAGAGCAGAAAUCACAGAUGUAAUGUGAACUCUCUGUGUCUGGCAAUAAAUAUACUUUUUUUAAAAAAAGUUUAAAAACAUUGUUGCAGGGCAAAAGUCUUACACACUUAACACAGGCCAGGUUUAUACACCAAUUUGCAACUGCUGGUACAGAGUCUUGUUAUUAUGAAAGGGUGAUAUUGUUUAAGAAUCACAUUCAGAAUUAGAAUAGUCAUCACUUUAACCGUGGAACAUUGUAACUCAUUCUUUGAACAGGUAUAGUCUUUGUCAAGAGGUUGGAACAGGUCACUUUUUUUUUUUUUAAAGAGAAUUUUAAUAUUUGUAUGUGGUGCUGAGGAUGGAACCUGGGCCGCACGCAUGCACGCUACCGCUUGAGCCAUAUCCCCAGCCCAUGGAACAGGUCACUUUUGACUGCUCCUCUGGAGGCCUCACUGAGUGCCUGAGACCUAGAGUGGAGCACAAAGGUGGCCAGCUUUUGCCUCUUACCUGUUGUUCAGGGGAAGCCGACUAAUGCAGAUCUGGAAACAGAUUCCUGUCCUAACUCCUGUCUGUUGUGGCUGUUCCUGCAAACCUGAUUGUCAGUGGGCCCAGGCAACAGAAGCUGACUGUUAAGCUAAUUAAGUGGGGAAAGGGUUUUUAAAAGUGUUGGGAGGUGCUCUUGAGACUUUUGGGAACAGACUUGAAGCUGUACUUCCAGGAAUGAUGAUCCAAAACCAUGUGUAGAACUGGGCCCAGAAGAACAAACUGCACUGCCCCAUCGAGCACUAGAGGAAACUGCGUCCAUGCCAUCGUUAAUCUUCCUUGAACCAGCCCCUCCUCUCUUAGAAGACUCAGCAUCUUUCUGCCACAGACCUUUUCGAUGAGAGUUGCUCCGUGUUUACCUGGUCAGCAGAGCCAAGUCACAUUCCUAAUCCCAGCUGGGUUGAGCCCCGAUGUCUACAGUGGGGAGGGCAGAGCUCCUGAUGUGCCGUUUUCCCAAAGAGUGGGAGGCUUUUCAAACAGAUGCUCUGUGAAGACUGGGACAAGCAGGGUGCAGAGGCGCACCUAUAAUCCCUGCCACUCAGGAGGCUGAGGCAGGAGGAUCACAAGUUCAGGUUCAGCCUCAGCAACAGUGAUGCCCUAAGCAACCUAGUGAGACCCUGUCUCAAUAUUUAAGAAAGAGUUGGAAAUGUGGCUCAGUGGUAAGACACCCCCCGGGUUCAGCUCAUGGUACAAAACAAAAACCCAUUUGUAUGAUCAUAAUGUUCAUAUAAUAUGGAUACUUUGACAACAUUUUGUUAGAAAUAAAUGUUUAAAAGGAUAAAAUUAUUUUUAAAGAUAAUCAUGAAUAUAUAUAUUUAGUUGUAGAUGGACACGAUACUUAUGAUACUUUCAUUUUAUUUCUGUAUUUUUAUGUGGUUCCAGGGAUCGAACCUGCUGCCUCAUGCAUGCUAGGCAAGCGCUCUACCACUGAGCCACAAUUCCGGUCCAUGAGUCAUCUUUUAGUAUUUUUUUUUAAAUUUAAUCCACUCCCUCCUACCCCCGCUGUUGUUAAGGGUUAAUUUAUGGGUUUAAUUCAGCCUGAAACACUACAGGUACAAAUUUCCAAAAGUAACCAUUUGUAAGCUUGUUUCUUUUACCCACUCCCAUCUUCAUUCUGAUUAUCAUGAAGGUACACUCCAAGAAAUUACAUGUAAUCACCAAUUCAUCAAAAUACUACGAAAGGCAAAAAAUAUAUAGAUUAAUUAAAAAUGGAAAACACAAGAUGCACGUGUUAAAUUGUUGAAGCAG